GAUCUGAUAAAGAUUCCGAAAUGUGGAAAGCAUUAACGAUAUGAUGUCCCAUCUAUGGCCUUUUUGAUAAGAAUACUGAACCAAUCGAACCAUCGAAAGACACGAAUCUUAAUUUUAUAUACGUAUCAAGAUUCAGUCAGAUAUCGCAAAAGUGCUAAAAACUACAACUUUUUUUCAUUUUCUGUACAUAAGUUCUUUAAGAGCGUGAGUGUUUUUUCACCAGUUUUAGUGCUUUUUUUCAUGUGUGAGUUAUGUGUGAUUAUUUAUUUUAAUUUAUUCAUUCUGGAGUGUUGUGCGUUUUCAUAUUUAUUACUUAUUUAUAGAAUUUUUGUUUAAAUUUUUCCAUGAUGGUCAUUUACAUAAUUUAUUUAUAAUACUGUAUACAUGAUGAUAUCGGUUUUUUAAAUACAAAAUCGACAUCGGGCUUUAUUUUGAUUUUUGUUGAGACGUUUUACAUUUGUAAUGAUUGUAGAUUUUUUUUAAAUUAUCUUUUUUAAUUCACAAAAAGUGAUUACAUGUCAGAUGUUGAAUGACCUUAUUUCCAUUUUUUUUUCUAUUUUUAUACAUUUUUCCUUAAUUGUAUUUGUGUUCUUUUGAAAUUUGUGUGGUGCGAAAGCUUAUGCCAUUUUUGACAAAUUUUAUCAAAGGCUUUAACUGUUGCAAGCGAGAUCUAGAAGUUAUAAUGGUAUGGAAUCAUACAAAAGUUUUCAAAGUUUUUCAAAUAGUUUAUAUCUUUAAUGGCAUUAACUUAACCAAAGCUAUGGUUAUAAUAAGAAUGCAGAAAAAAAAUGUGUUGUCCCAUUUGCUAUGAGAAUAAAUUCAGGAACUUUC
rnacentral:misc_RNA from 1 species